GCGACAUAACGGACAAAAACAAGUGAAUAAAUUACUCACCGCUUCACACACUGCUGCUGAAGAGUCUCCCGGUUCCAGCUGACACAACAACAACAACAACAACAACAACAGCGCGCGCGCGGGCGCACACACACACACAAAAUUCAUUUCCACUAGAGGGAGACAAACGAACAGUGCAUCAUGCUACAGCUUCACUCCUGAUUGACUCUAACUGGAUCCUAAAGCUGAGAGGUUUUUCUUUGGUGCAGUUUUGCUAAAACCAUGGUGUUAAACGGCUGUCUCUGGCUCCGAGCCACACGACUGGGAUCAUGUUCACCAGUGCGUCACUGUCAGAUCCUAUUAGACGUGUUUCGGGGCCAUGCUGGCAGAUAGGGUGGUCGACAGACAGGCAGUGAGUCAGCACUAUCUGCAGGGUGGGGGAGGGGCACCAGGGCUUUCCAGACCUGCACUGGGUCAGCUAAAGUGAGCAAUAUAUUAGCACUGUUCAUCAUAACAACCAUUAUUUUUAUAUUAUUUUAUUUUUAUUUGGAAUCUUUAGAUGCUUUUCAACAAGUUUUAAAUUCUGGACAUGUUCAAAAAUCAAACGUCAAAGAUGGGCUGAAAUCUCUUUCCAAAUCCGACGUAUUUCUAGCUUGAAAUGUUCUUGUUCUAUUGGCAGAUCUUUGUGUUCAUUUUUAGAAUUUGUUUGGAAGAAGAAACAAAACGAUCUGCCAAUAGAAUAAAACAUUUCAAGCUUGAAAUGAGUAAAGAUGUUUUUAAAAAUAGGUUGAAGAAUUAUAUAUGUGGUUUAUUGUAAUCUAAUCAUAUAUCAUUCCAGAUAAAUGUGUCUUUGCCACUGUGGAUUAGCAUAAUCAAAUGGAUUUAUUGUCUGGCUUGAACACAUAUGAUACAGUGAGUAGGAUCUUCUUUUUUUUGGUGAAGAUCACGCCUGGUCUCACAACAUAACACAUCUAAUAAGGAAGUCCCAGCCGCAUCUGUACUUCCUGAGAAGGCUGAAGUAACUUGACAUGGCAGCAGAAAUUCUUAGCAACUUCUGCAGCAGUGCCAAUGAGAGCAUUUUCACCAGCAACACUCUUCAGAGAGGCAUUAGAACUGCUCAUACCACCUCAGGAGCAGUCUACACGUCACUGGAGGACAAUUAGCACACCAGGGUCCAGAGGAGAGCCCACAAUAUCAUCAUGGACUGAACCCAUCCCCAACACAGCCUGUUUACACUCCGACCAUCAGGACGACGCUACAGGAGCAUGAACAGUUUCUAUCCACGGACCAUCUCGCUUUUCCACCUCACAUUAGUACUUGUAGUAAGUUUCACAGAUCACACUCGACCUGUACACCCCAGAGUGCAAUUUCCAAGAGUUUGAGUGUAUUUUCAGUGUAGUGUGUACUGUGAUUGACAAUAAACUCUUAGAUGUUUGUUUUCUCCUGAAA